UGCCUUGGACCAGACGAAGCCUACGUCAUGCUGUGGGAGUUGAAGGACGACGAAGUCAUCUUCGAAGUUCAGGUGAGGACGCAGGGGUACGUGGGCCUCGGCUUCUCCCCCAACGGCGGUAUGAAGGGCGCCGACGUCGUGCUCGGCUGGGUCGCAGACGACGGAAAAGUCAUGCUGCAAGACCGCUAUGCCACGGACUACACCACGCCAGAU